UUGCAUAUUCCAAAAGCGGAGGUAAAGAAACCAACUGGGAUUACCUUAGUAACGGCGAGUGAAGCGGUAAAAGCUCAAAUUUGAAAUCUGGUACUUUCAGUGCCCGAGUUGUAAUUUGUAGAAUUUGUCUUUGAUUAGGUCCUUGUCUAUGUUCCUUGGAACAGGACGUCAUAGAGGGUGAGAAUCCCGUUUGGCGAGGAUACCUUUUCUCUGUAAGACUUUUUCGAAGAGUCGAGUUGUUUGGGAAUGCAGCUCAAAGUGGGUGGUAAAUUCCAUCUAAAGCUAAAUAUUGGCGAGAGACCGAUAGCGAACAAGUACAGUGAUGGAAAGAUGAAAAGAACUUUGAAAAGAGAGUGAAAAAGUACGUGAAAUUGUUGAAAGGGAAGGGCAUUUGAUCAGACAUGGUGUUUUUUGCAUGCACUCGCCUCUCGUGGGCUUGGGCCUCUCAAAAAUUUCACUGGGCCAACAUCAAUUCUGGCAGCAGGAUAAAUCAUUAAGAACGUAGCUACCUCGGUAGUGUUAUAGCUUUUUGGAAUACUGCUAGCUGGGAUUGAGGACUGCGCUCGGCAAUGAUGUUGCUAAAAUACG
rnacentral:rRNA from 1 species